CGUGCGCGGCGUCGGAGCAAGCGGCCCCUUCCUUCGGCCCCGCCCAGCCCCGCCGGCCGCCCGCUCCCUGGGGAACCGAGGGAGGAAUGGGCGGGGUCCUCAGGUGCCCGGCGACGUCAUCCAGCCCCCAAGGCUCCAGGACGCAAAGGGUCCCCUGAUCUGGCAGUCCCUGGACCUACCCUGGAGAGCGUGGGGGGACAAAGGCCGGACGCGCCGCCCGCUGCCGCCUCCAGGAAGCCCUCCCUUGCCAGGACAGUGGAGUUGGCCGGGUCCUUCCAAAGUGCCUACGGAAAGCUUUGUCCCAUCCUUGAAAAAUUGCUAAUGGGUUUGGAGAUACGAGGUGGAGAUGACUAGCAAUCAAACUCAAAGGUGGAAGUCACAUCGAGGCAGAUGAGCAGAUGAGGGGACCUAGAGAAGAAGAGAGGUGCAAGGAGAGCCCAGCCAGCAGGAACAUCUGCCCCAGUAGGCAGCACUGCCCCACAUCAGAGUCGAGGAAAGCAAAGCUCGGAUUGGAUAAAAGAAACUUGCAAACACGGAUGAAGGGAAAAGCUUCAUGACAUUGGAUUUGGCAGUGAUUCCUUGGAUAUGACCCCAAAAGCACAGAUAACGAAAGAAAAAAUAGUUAAAUUGUCUUCAUCAAAAUUAAAACUUUUGUACAUCAAAGAACUCUUUCAAAAGAGUGAAAAAGUCACAGAAUAAGAGAAAAUCAUAUACCUGAUAAAGAAUUAAUAUUCAGAGCCAGAUGCAGUGGCUCAUGCCUGUAAUCCCAGCACUUUGGGAGGCCAAGGCAGGCAGAUCACUUGAGAUCAGGAGUUCGAGACAAGCCUGGCUAAAAUGGUGAAACCCCAGCUCUACUAAAAAUACAAAAAUUAGCCAGGCGUGGUGGCGUGCACCUGGAAUCCCAGCUAUUCGGGAGGCUGAGGCAGGAGAAUCGCUUGAACUCAGAAGGCAGAGGUUGCAGUGAGCCAAGAUCACACCACUGCACUCCAGCCUGGGCGACAAAGUGAGACUCCAUCUCAAAAAAACAAAACAAAACAAAACAAAACAAAGAGUUACUAUUCAGAAUAUAUUAAGAAUUCCUACAACUCAACAACAAAAAAAAAUCCAACCCAAUUAAAAAAUGGGCAACAGACCCAAAUAGACAUUUCUUAGAAGACACACAAAUGGCCAAUAAGCUCAUGAAAACAUGUUUAACAUCACUAAUCAUUAGGGAAAUGCAAAUCAAAGCUAAAAUGAGAUACCACGUCACACUCAUUAGGUGUUAUUUUUUAAAAAUAACACAACAACAAAAAAUAAGAAAUGUGGGCGAGGAUGUGAAGAAAUUGAAACCCUUGUGGACUGUUGUUGGGGAUGUAAAAUGGCGCAGCUGCUGGGGAAAACAGUAUGGGAGUUCCUCACAAAACUAAACAGAAUUGCCAAACGACCCAGCGAUCCUGCCUCUGACAUAUACUGGAAAGAACUGAAAUAAGGCGCUGGAACAGACACUUGUAACCCAUGUUCACAGCUGAGCCAAAAGGUGGGAGUAACCCAAAUGUCCAUCAGUGGAUGAAUACUGGCAAUAAAAGCUGUGUCUGGAGGCCACUCCGUUUCACACAGCUCUCCACACGGGUGAGGGCACAGCCUUCUCGUCUCUUUCCUAUGCUGCAUCUUCAGAGCUAGCUAUGAUAUGAUAUGAUGUGAUAUGUACAUAUCGAAUAUACAUGUUUUACAUGCAAAUGCAACCAGUUUAUUGAGGGCUUGAUGGGGGAUAUGGGAGUUGCGGGGGAGAAUGGUCUUGUAUUUCCAAUUUAAAAAUAACAACAACAAAACGGGACAGAA
rnacentral:lncRNA from 1 species